rnacentral:rRNA from 1 species
UACGUAGGGGGCAAGCGUUGUCCGGAUUUAUUGGGCGUAAAGAGCUCGUAGGCGGUUCCGUAAGUCGAGUGUGAAAAUCUGGGCUCAACCCAGUGGAGCACUCGAUACUGCGGUGACUAGAGUACGGUAGAGGAGUGUGGAAUCCUGGUGUAGCGGUGAAAUGCGUAGAUAUCGAGAGGAACAGCCUGCGGCGAAGGCGGGUUGCUGGGCGUGACACUGACGCUGACAGCGCGAAAGCUAGGGAGCGAACGGG